UAACUAAGUGUUUUAGCUGGCACUUUUUAAAUCGCAUAUCCACCUUGUGUGCAAUGUCAGUCGAUCUUCUUCAUGGAGAUCGACCAUAACAUUCACCUUUGAAUCUCUUUAACUCAUUAGUCUGAAAAUAUUACUGAAUAAACAAUUACAAUAAUA
rnacentral:misc_RNA from 1 species